CUACGUGCCAGCAGCCGCGGUAAUACGGAAGGUCCCGGCGUUAUCCGGAUUUAUUGGGUUUAAAGGGAGCGCAGACUGCUUGUCAAGCGUGCAGUGAAACGCCGUGGCCCAACCACGGUCCUGCUGCGCGAACUGGCUUGCUUGAGUGGGCAGUAGGUACGCGGAAUUCGUGGUGUAGCGGUGAAAUGCUUAGAUAUCACGAGGAACUCCGAUUGCGAAGGCAGCGUACCAUAUCCCAACUGACGUUUAUGCUCGAAGGUGCGGGUAUCGAACAGGAUUAGAUACCCUGGUAGUCCGCACAGUAAACGAUGGAUGCCCGCUGUUGGUACCUGGUAUCAGCGGCUAAGCGAAAGCAUUAAGCAUCCCACCUGGGGAGUACGCCGGCAACGGUGAAACUCAAAGGAAUUGACGGGGGCCCGCACAAGCGGAGGAACAUGUGGUUUAAUUCGAUGAUACGCGAGGAACCUUACCAAAUCUUGACAUCC
rnacentral:rRNA from 1 species